GCCAUCCUGUACUGAACCAUGUCCUGGGCUGCCCUCCUCCUCUCUCUCACCUCUCUCUGCACAUAUUCGGCCGCCCAAGUCUCACUAACACAGCCGGUGUCUGAAUCAGUGAAGCCGGGGGAGACAGUGAGAAUCUCCUGCACACUCAGUGGUUACAGUAUCAGUGAUCGCUAUGUGUUCUGGUACCAGCAGAAAUCAGGGAAUCGUCCCAGAUACUUACUGUAUUUUCGUUAUGACUCAGACAAACACCAGGGAGAUGGGGUGCCUGAUCGGUUCUCUGGAUCCAAAGAUUCCCCUAAUAAUGUUGGCUAUUUAACCAUUAGAGGAGCCUUACUAGAAGAUGAUGCAGAUUAUUACUGUGCUAUAUGGCAUCCUCCAUCCAACACGUUGCACAGUGGUGUAUUGCUGUGA